ACAGAGGCCUCGAGCGUUAGGCGGAAUCACUGGGCUUAAAGCGUGUGUAGGCGGAUCGUUAAGUGCCUUGUGAAAUCCCUCGGCUUAACCGGGGAACUGCGUCCGAUACUGGAUGGCUUGAGUUCGGGAGAGGGAUGCGGAAUUCCAGGUGUAGCGGUGAAAUGCGUAGAUAUCUGGAGGAACACCGGUGGCGAAGGCGGCAUCCUGGACCGACACUGACGCUGAGGAGCGAAAGCUAGGGGAGCAAACAGGA
rnacentral:rRNA from 1 species